UUAAUUGUCCACUAUCAAAACAGUGUAGUAUAUAUUUACUUCGAUUUUGAUAAACUAUCAUAGUCUAUUUAGUUUUCAAAAUGAACGCCAAAUCGAUAUUUUUAAUUUGUCUUAUCUUAACAUGCUUACUAGCUUCAACCUUCGUUGCUGCUUACCCUGGCGGCGACGUUAUUGAAUCGAAUCCUUCAAACCAAGCCACUGAUAGUAACAAGCAGAAUGGAGGCGUCGGUCAAGGACAAUCGGAUCGAAAAGGGUUAAUUUGAUUACUAUGAAAUGAUGUGAAAAUAAAGUUAAUUAAAUAA